CCUACGGGUGGCUGCAGUGAGGAAUAUUGGGCAAUGGGCGCAAGCCUGACCCAGCCAUGCCGCGUGAAGGAUGAAUGCCCUAUGGGUUGUAAACUUCUUUUGUACGGGACGAAACUCCUGGUCGUGACCGGGAUUGACUGUACCGUACGAAUAAGCAUCGGCUAACUCCGUGCCAGCAGCCGCGGUAAUACGGAGGAUGCAGGAUUUAUCCGGAUUCAUUGGGUUUAAAGGGUGCUAGUAAGGCAUUGGUGAAAGCCUGCGGCUUAACCGUAGAAAUGCCAUUGAUACUGUUAGUCUUGAGUAUAGUUGAGGUGGGCGGAAUGUGUAAUGUAGCGGUGAAAUGCUUAGAUAUUACACAGAACACCAAUUGCGAAGGCAGCUCACUAAGCUGUUACUGACGCUGAGGCACGAAAGCGUGGGGAGCAAACAGGAUUAGAUACCCCAGUAGUC
rnacentral:rRNA from 1 species